rnacentral:rRNA from 1 species
GAUGAACGCUGGCGGCGUGCCUAACACAUGCAAGUCGAACGGAGUCCAGCCUUUAAGACCUUCGGGUCAAAGAGGGGAAGACUGAGUGGCGGACGGGUGAGUAACACGUGGGCAACCUGGCUCAUAGAGGGGGAUAACAGAGAGAAAUUUCUGCUAAUACCGCAUAAGCACACACUGCCGCAUGGCAGAGGGUGAAAAGAGAAUCGCUAUGAAAUGGACCCGCGUCUGAUUAGCCAGUUGGCAGGGUAAGAGCCUACCAAAGCGACGAUCAGUAGCCGAUCUGAGAGGAUGAACGGCCACAUUGGGACUGAGACACGGCCCAAACUCCUACGGGAGGCAGCAGUGGGGGAUAUUGCACAAUGGGGGGAACCCUGAUGCAGCGACGCCGCGUGAGUGAAGAAGUAUUUCGGUAUGUAAAGC